UACGUAGGUGGCAAGCGUUGUCCGGAAUUAUUGGGCGUAAAGCGCGCGCAGGCGGUCCUUUAAGUCUGAUGUGAAAUCCCUCGGCUCAACCGAGGAACUGCACUCGAUACUGGUCGGCUAGAGUCCGGGAGGGGAUGGUGGAAUUCCCAGUGUAGCGGUGAAAUGCGUAGAUAUUGGGAAGAACACCGGUGGCGAAGGCGGCCAUCUGGACCGGAACUGACGCUGAGGCGCGAAAGCCAGGGGAGCGAAUGGG
rnacentral:rRNA from 1 species